rnacentral:rRNA from 1 species
CAAUAGCGUAUAUUAAAGUUGUUGCAGUUAAAAAGCUCGUAGUUGGAUUUCUGGUGGGAGCGAUCGGUCUGGCGCUUAGCGCGAGUACUUGCAUCGUCUCCGGCCAUCCUUGGGGAGAGUCUGUCUGGCAUUAAGUUGUCGGGCAGAGGAUCCUCAUCGUUUACUGUGAAAAAAUUAGAGUGUUCAAAGAAGGCUUAUGCCGUUGAAUAUAUUAGCAUGGAAUAAUAAGAUAGGACUUUGGUACUAUUUUGUUGGUUUGCGCACCAAAGUAAUGAUUAAUAGGGACAGUUGGGGGUAUUCGUAUUCCGUUGUCAGAGGUGAAAUUCUUGGAUUUACGGAAGACGAACUACUGCGAAAGCAUUUACCAAGGAUGUUUUCAUUAA